GGGUGAGUAAUGUCUGGGAAACUGCCUGAUGGAGGGGGAUAACUACUGGAAACGGUAGCUAAUACCGCAUAACGUCGCAAGACCAAAGAGGGGGACCUUCGGGCCUCUUGCCAUCAGAUGUGCCCAGAUGGGAUUAGCUAGUAGGUGGGGUAAUGGCUCACCUAGGCGACGAUCCCUAGCUGGUCUGAGAGGAUGACCAGCCACACUGGAACUGAGACACGGUCCAGACUCCUACGGGAGGCAGCAGUGGGGAAUAUUGCACAAUGGGCGCAAGCCUGAUGCAGCCAUGCCGCGUGUGUGAAGAAGGCCUUCGGGUUGUAAAGCACUUUCAGCGAGGAGGAAGGUGGUGAACUUAAUACGUUCAUCAAUUGACGUUACUCGCACAAGAAGCACCGGCUAACUCCGUGCCAGCAGCCGCGGUAAUACGGAGGGUGCAAGCGUUAAUCGGAAUUACUGGGCGUAAAGCGCACGCAGGCGGUUUGUUAAGUCAGAUGUGAAAUCCCCGGGCUCAACCUGGGAACUGCAUUUGAAACUGGCAAGCUAGAGUCUCGUAGAGGGGGGUAGAAUUCCAGGUGUAGCGGUGAAAUGCGUAGAGAUCUGGAGGAAUACCGGUGGCGAA
rnacentral:rRNA from 1 species